rnacentral:tRNA from 1 species
GGACGUGUAGCUCAGUAGGUUAGAGCAGGGGAUUCUUAAUCCCAAGGUCGAGAGUUCAAAUCUCUCCUCGUCUACCA